UAUAUAACCAUUACAAUAGCCCGAAACACCAGCACCAUAUACUGCUGAAGAGAAUAUUGGCUCAAAAAGAAAUAAAUCAAGUCAAAAGAAGACUUCCAAAUAGGAUACUCAAAUGUGGCAGUAAGUAGGUACCUCAACCACAAGCAUGGUAUAGUGUAAGAUGAGAGAAAUAACAAAUAAACCCCAUCAAGCAAAGUAGCUUCCUUCCUUGUAAGAACAACAGAAACAGAAGCUAACUGUGUAACACUUGAAAUGAUCAUCACAAAAAUAAACUAGCGAGUCCCCUAAUGUUUAACUGGUCAUUAAAAUUUGAGUCCCUACCAAAUAAUACAGGCUUGUUUCAAAACAGAACAAAGAAGGGGAAAAAUGAAAUUUUACAUAGUCAAAAUGCAGCAAUAGAAUAACACAAGCGUUCCCAAUGCUAUUACUCAUUAUCCUUUGCUCCAUUUACCAGAGCAAAAACAAGAGAACAA
rnacentral:misc_RNA from 1 species